rnacentral:rRNA from 1 species
UACGUAGGGUCCAAGCGUUGUUCGGAAUUACUGGGCGUAAAGCGCGCGUAGGCGGGUUUGUAUGUCGAUUGUGAAAUCCCCGGGCUCAACCUGGGAACUGCAGUCGAAACUGCAAAUCUUGAAUGUCUGAGAGGAUGGCGGAAUUCCCGGUGUAGUAGUGAAAUACGUAGAUAUCGGGAAGAACACCUGAGGCGAAGGCGGCUAUCUGGCGGUACAUUGACGCUAAGGCGCGAAAGCGUGGGGAGCAAACAGGA